CGGACGGGUGAGUAACACGUGGAUAACCUACCUAUAAGACUGGGAUAACUUCGGGAAACCGGAGCUAAUACCGGAUAAUAUUUUGAACCGCAUGGUUCAAAAGUGAAAGACGGUCUUGCUGUCACUUAUAGAUGGAUCCGCGCUGCAUUAGCUAGUUGGUAAGGUAACGGCUUACCAAGGCAACGAUACAUAGCCGACCUGAGAGGGUGAUCGGCCACACUGGAACUGAGACACGGUCCAG
rnacentral:rRNA from 1 species